rnacentral:rRNA from 1 species
CCUACGGGCGGCAGCAGUGGGGAAUAUUGGACAAUGGGGGCAACCCUGAUCCAGCCAUGUCGCGUGUGUGAAGAAGGCCCUCGGGUUGUAAAGCACUUUCAGUGAGGAAGAACGCCUGGUGGUUAAUACCCAUCAGGAAAGACAUCACUCACAGAAGAAGCACCGGCUAACUCCGUGCCAGCAGCCGCGGUAAUACGGAGGGUGCGAGCGUUAAUCGGAAUUACUGGGCGUAAAGCGCGCGUAGGUGGCUUGAUAAGCCGGUUGUGAAAGCCCCGGGCUCAACCUGGGAACGGCAUCCGGAACUGUCAAGCUAGAGUGCAGGAGAGGAAGGUAGAAUUCCCGGUGUAGCGGUGAAAUGCGUAGAGAUCGGGAGGAAUACCAGUGGCGAAGGCGGCCUUCUGGACUGACACUGACACUGAGGUGCGAAAGCGUGGGUAGCAAACAGGAUUAGAUACCCCGGUAGUC